UACGAAGGGGGCUAGCGUUGUUCGGAAUUACUGGGCGUAAAGCGCGCGCAGGCGGUUCUUCAAGUCAGUGGUGAAAGCCCGGAGCUCAACUCCGGAACUGCCAUUGAAACUGUAGAACUGAGGAUGAGAGAGGUGAGUGGAAUUCCCAGUGUAGAGGUGAAAUUCGUAGAUAUUGGGAAGAACACCGGUGGCGAAGGCGGCUCACUGGCUCAUUUCUGACGCUCAGGCGCGACAGCGUGGGGAUCAAACAGG
rnacentral:rRNA from 1 species